GGCUUCCUCUACAGCCUCACGCAAGGCCUGUGCAGGGUCCCCGCGGAGCUGGGCCAAUGCCCCGCGCAGAGCAGCGGAGCCGUCUCCCACACGGAGCUUUCGGCCGCUCAAAAAAUAAUGAGGCAGCGCCCCGGCCUCUAGCACUCGGCUCAGCUCAUCCAGUAGCCCAAGGCAACAAGCGCCGGCAUUUUCCGGCCGCGCCAAGUAGAGCGCCGGGAGCCGCUCGCACGCCCAGUAGAGCAAGGUCCGCAGGAGGUAGGGCGCAGCGGCUCGGGUCCCCGCCACCAGCGGGCGCAGCAGCGCCUGGGCCGCCGCGUGUGCCUGAAGCAGCGGCGUGGGGAUGCGCUCUUUGAGCGCCAGCUCCUGGCGAGCGAAGCACAGCUGCCAUCCAGAGGUGCUCGGCUGCUCUGGGAGGCUGCCCGGCACUAGGUAGAAAGAGGCCGAUUCAGAGACCAGUGGACCCGCCCACGAGUGGCUCCGAGCCGUGUCAGGCCAGCCUGUCACGGUCACCACCGGGAUCAAGUCGAAGAGCAGGAGGUGGCGUGGGGGCUCUGGAGUUGCCAGGAGGACCGUGGUGACACCUGCGUGACGAGCUGCAUGAACUAGCCGUGGGGCGCCUGGGACCGGGAUCAGGGACUCAGCAACCUCAGCCAACUUAACGAAGAACCAGGAAGUUACUUGGGUCGGGCAUAAUGUGGGCCAUGCCUUUGGAGCCUCCGACGGCUUUGGGACUUGGCUUUCGUCGGCGUCCAAGGCGUCGCUGCUCAGUGUUUCCAAUGGCUCAGGAGUUUCAGGAUUGGUAAUGUCCUUAUAAGACGAUUGGGACUCUGAAAGGUCACUAGAUGAUUUUUGCAAAGACAUGUGUGGCUCAGGUUCAGGGACAUAAUCAUGUGACGGAUCUACAGAGUUUUCCCGGUCGGUGGGACUCUCUUUGCUAUGGGUUUGGUGAGUCAUAUCACUUUCUUCUGGGACAGGAGGUCCUAAGCAAUCCUGCCAGGCCUCCCGGACCAAAAUUCCACGCAUCAGUUCUGGAAGGCGGAGCCAUGCAGAACAGGAUUCCAGAUCCAGUAGCAGCUCGGGCCCAGUGCCAUCCAGAGAAAACACAGGCACAAGGAGUGUAAAGCCGGCAUCAUAAUGAGGUCCCCGGGAGUAGGGACCUAAGGGGGCGUGCCCUAAAUCUAGGGAACCUUCGCGAAUCCCACCACGAAGCAGCAAGAGUUCUGCCUGGGGUGGAAAACGAGGGUCUUGGCGGUGAACCAGACCUAAAGAAGAGAAAGGGUCGUGAAGGUAUCCUGGUUCAAAGUCGGGGCAGGAAAUGGCGAGGCUGGGGUUUGCAAAUUCCCACACUUACCGAGUAGAGCGAAGACAAAAUCCUUGGCUCGGAGAAGAUCAGCUCCAGGCUUGGGCCCUUCACUCCAACUCUCCUGAACACGGAGCUCCUGAAUUAACUGAGUGAGCUCCUGCAGCUGGGCGCCCGAGCAGAAAUCUAUGUCUGUGAGAGGCCGGGCUGGGGCUGGGGGCGGUGGUCCCCACCAGGGGGCACCCCCCCAGACGGUGGAAGCCAUGCUUCGCUAGCGUUUGGUGCAGUUAGCUUUGGCAGGCCUUUCUUUUGCGGCCCCAAACUUGUCCAGUUUUCCCCUCCCUCUGAGGCAGAUCAAGGGUUACAGACAGGCCACAAGUGGGUCUUGGAGAUGAUGUGAUCUGUAUUUAGUCUUCCUGAUGAACAAAUGACUAUUGCCUUCGGUUUUUUCUAAGCAGGUUGCCCCACGGUAAAUCGGUUCACCUGACUCAGCAGGUUAAAAAAAAAAAAAAAGGCUAUUUGGUCCCUCCUGGGAAUACAAUAGCCAAUCUUUACCACGAGCCUUUGCCCACCUCCCUUUACCUCUUUUUGAGAAGGGCUUAUUGGUCCGCGGCUUUCCGAUGAAGGGGUAGCUUCAAAGGUGGUGGACAGAAAGCAACAUAAAAGAUUCUACAGGUAACUUCCUGGUGGUCACAUGUCCACGCCCUUUCUGGAAGCUGUCUGGGUGGCUCCGGACUGGUUCCGCCUCCUGUGAGAGUUCGUUCAGUCACGCCUCUCACCCUGCUGAGAUGUUGUUACCCUGGGAGUUGUAGUUUGUGUUCCACGAUACAGGUGCAGCGGUGCCUACACACCCUUUCCGUUGUUUCAAAGUAGUGCCUACUGGAAGCUGUAGUUUGUUUGUUUGUUUUCCUUUUUAUCCCUUCAAUUUAUUUAGCUAUUUGAGACUGGGUCUCACUGUGCACCUCUGGAUGGCUUGGAACUUGCUAUGUAGACCUGACUGACUGCAUCUCAAACAGUUCAUCCUGCCUCUGCCUCCUGAGUUCUGAGAUUAAAGACAUAUGGUACCUUUU